GUUUAACAGAAAGACAAAUCUCGAUUAGUCAAAUGCUCAUUAAAUUACAUACAAUUUUCCAUUUAUCUUGAGGACUUAAUGUAGCACGGUACGGAUCCAUAAUUUUACGUCAGCUAAAAAAAAAUUUGACACGCCUAGAGUCAAGCCAAAGUUUGUCCAACAAAAUUAGAUAAGUUCAACAGCUGCUAUGUAGAAGGGACUGAACUAACCAUCAUUUGCCCAUAAAUCACAAUCACAAUCACAAUCCGUAGAAAGUUUGACCAUGGUCAGCUGGAAACAUGCCUUGGAUCAUGGUUUGAGAGCAAUAAGCCCUAAAAUUUGAUUCCAAACCAAUAAAGCUCAUUGCAUUGUGAAACUCUACUGAGUACCGAGAACAAGCCCAUUAAUGCUCACUUCACUUGAGGAGAGACUACGACCCAGAACCCAGCACAGCUAGACUCAGUUCACUGCUUUAGUUCAUAGUGUUUGCUAGUAACUUUAACCCAUAAGCAGGUCAAUCCACCCAUAUCUAUAAUGGCACAAGAUUUUCUUGAACCAGUUAGCUUGAUAAGGAAGACCUGGUUUGACCACUUCCAGCAACACCAAAUGCAUGUUACCUCCAAGUCCUUGUAAUUUUCAUUAAAAAAGUAAUAAGGAAUUCAGGUAACUAAGGACAACACCUGAAUAAUUUCCAGGUAUUGCAUUACACCAGAGACAUUCAAUUGUCUCCUUUCUAUUUUUUAAAAAAAUAAAAAAAGGUAAAAAGCUGAUACCA
rnacentral:misc_RNA from 1 species